GGGCUGUGAAGACAAAAAUCGUUUCUCGAUGCUGAGAUACGGACCUCUAAUGUUUUAUUCUGCUUGAUGAGUUAUUUAUGCGUGUCUGAGCCCU